rnacentral:rRNA from 1 species
GACAGAGGCCUCAAGCGUUAGGCGGAAUCACUGGGCUUAAAGCGUGUGUAGGCGGAUCGUUAAGUGUCUUGUGAAAUCCCACGGCUCACCCGUGGAACGGCUGGGCAUACUGGCGAUCUUGGGCCAACUAGGGGCAACUGGAACAAGCGGUGGAGCGGUGAAAUGCGUAGAUAUGCGGAGGAACACCGAUGGCGAAGGCAAUCCCCGUGGGCCUGCACUGACGCUCAUGCACGAAAGCCGUGGGGAGCAAACAGG